UCUUUUUUUUUUCUUCUCUUUCCUCCUUUUCUUUUCUUCCUUCGUCUUUUCUAACUGAUUCUUUUGCUACAAAUAAAAGCGAGGUCUCCCACCCACUCUCCCGCCUCCCUUGCUACAAAAAGUGCAGUGCAAACAAAAGCGAGAGAAGAGGGCACAGGGCGGGCGGGGUGGUGAGGGCAGACACGGGAAAAAAAUCCCAGAAACCGUCCCCGAGAGUCGAAACGUGAAAAACCCUCCCCCACCACUUCGCUUCGCUCCUCUGGGGAAGAACGGGGACGCCGUGGGGACACCGGUAGACAGGACGCUCUCCCGUUCCGUGGAAAUACUGCAACUGUGUCUGUACAUACUUCCUUAAGCCUGCGUUGUCCAGAAAGAAAAAUGGGCCGAAAGAGAAAAUGUUCUGAAAAGCAAGCAAGGAUGUGAUGAAGAAGAAAUUGCUUCAGCAGGAGAAAUGUACUAAAAAGUCUUUUGAUUAAGAAAUAAAUGGAGAAGGAAAGAAACAAGAAAAUUCACCAACAUUGUGACCUUCUGCCAAAGAUAUAGGCCAGGCAUAAUCCCUUAUGUGGUGGUGUAUCCUCUACCCCCUCCUCUGUCUUGCUCUAGGACCUCAAAAGCCCCUGGCUUGGUGUUGGGAAAAGCUAGCUGUGGAAGCACCCAUCAUCAUGGUUUUGUCCCAGGAAGCUGAGGGGUGCUGAGCACAGGAGCAGCCACCACCAGUCAUUGUCCUGAGGUCCAUGUGGUGUCACCCACGGGAAGUGCCCCCCAGUUUCUCUCUGUCUUGGUGGCCAUGUGGAACUAAGUCAAGAUGGUGAACAUCUUUAGUGUUUAAAGCACCUUCUCUUUUUGCACAUCUUUGUUAUUAGCAUCACCACUGUUACUGUGUAUUUCUUGUUCCAUUGCUUCUUCAGUGAAUUGUUGUUUCAAUCCAUACUCUCUUUGUUGCACUCUUACUGGAGGGUUUGGGGGAAUGGGAUUGACUUCUUGGAUUGACUUCAGGUUUAAUUUUCUGUUGGUAUUAAACCACCACAACUUUGUAGUAAGCAAUUGAAUGAACCUUGUGAUCAAACUCUACUAAAGUUGCACUUUCACAAUUUAAUAUUAAAACCUGCUUUGUGCCACUAUUGAUAGUCAUUUUUUAAAGUCACCUAACCAUGCUUCAUGAGCUUCUUCCAUGAAAGUAGCAAAAAGAUCAUUCAAUAUAGACAUAAACUACAGAAAUGUAGAUGUUAACAAGUAUUUCUGAAAUCCUAUGUGACCUGGCUCCUUAGAGCUGCCUUGUCUAUGUCCACCAUUUAAUUGCUGCUGUUGAACAAGAAGCACUAAUAACCUCAAGGAAUACCCAAAUUCUUUCUGAAUGUGUCAGAUGUCACUGAUGAAGCUAAAAAUCUAAUACAAAUCUUGGAAAUGGGAUUUCCUUAUAGAACAGUUUUGUUAUCCUUUUACCUUCUUUGAAAUUACCUGCAGGGUUCCAAUGCAUUUCACAAUGUCACACUAGUCCAUUCUCUGGUGCAUCUGGAAAACUAUGGCCUGAUCACUAUUCCUGAGACUUGGUGAAAUGAACCACAUUAUUAGAGUGCUUCAUACAAUGACUAAAACUGUUCAGGACAUACAGCUGGAAGAGGCUGGCCACUCUGUCCAUGAUAGAUGAUAGACAGAGAUGGAAAGGUGAAUGGGGUUCCCCUCUAUGAUUGAAAAGAUGAUUGAAUGAUUGGAUGAUUUCCAUUUCUGUAUGGAAAAAAAAAUCCAUUGCCACUGAAAAACAACCUAGCAGAGAUCUGGAGUGUAUGGGUGAAAAUCAGAGGCCAAACUAACAAAGGCAGUCAUAGAGCAGAUGUUUGCUGACAGAUAGCAAUCUAUCAGCCUUACCCCAGGCCUAGUAAAGUUGUGGAACAAGUCCUCCUGGCAUCUACCUCAAGGCAUAUGAAAGACAUGAAAAUGGCUUCCCCAAAGGCAGAUGGUGCCUGGCCCUCUGCAGUGGAAUGUCUGCUCUGGAAAAGGAUGAGUAUAGGACCUGAUGGAAUUUACUUUGUCUUCCAUAAGGCCUUUGAUAUGGUCCAUUCUCACUGCUAAAUUAGAAAUAUACAGGUGUACUAAAGAUGGGUGCAUUCUUGGAUAAGAAAAGACUACCUGAGUGCUUGCAUAUGAAGAGAUGCAGUUAACAGCUCAAUGUUCCAAUGAAGAUCAGUUAAAGUGAAAUUUGUCAGGAGUGUCUACUGGGGCUGGCACUGUCCAACAUCUUUAUUAAUGACAGGCAGAGUGGAAUGUAGUGCAUCCUCAGCAAGUUUAUGGAGACAGCACAGUAUUGGGUCCAGCUAAAAUGAAGUUAAAUCUCCCCACAGCAGCCCUCAAAGCACUGUGAAUUGUAAUGCUACCUACAAAAGUGUUGAUAACACACCAGUGUUUUGGCUUUUGCUGAGCAGAGCAUCAGCAACACCUCUCAAACACUCUCCCAUUCCUACCUGCCAGUAGGCUGGAUCCUUGGAGGUGACAUAGCCAGUACAGCUGGUGACCAAAGUGAUAUUCCAUACUAUAUGAUGUCUGCUCAGCAAUAAAAGAUAAAAAAGAGGCGGUAGGGGUGGUGUGUGUGGAUGUGUGUCUGUGGGUGCACGUGUGAGGUUACCUACACCUACAGUGUGAGGGGGUUGAUUUGUUGUUUACAUUGUUUGCUUCCAGAACAACCAAUAAAUGUGCUGAAGUCCUGUUUCUCAGUAAGUUAUUGGUCAUUGCUUAUGAGAAGCAGAAAAUAAAAUCUUUUCUUUGGUUCUUCAUGCAUGACCUUUACUUUUCCUUUUUUCAAAUUUCCUUUAUCUUAACCCGGAAGGGGUUUCCCCAUCUUAUUUUUUCUAACCCUUUCUGUCUAAAAAAGGAGUAGUAGAGUGAUUUGGUCAGCAUACAGCCCAGGCCAUGCCACCACAGGCAGCAAGCUGAAUAGUGCAGUGAUAUGCUAGAAGGAAGGGAUGCCAUCCAGAGGGACUUUACAGGCUGAAUAAACACACCAAUAUACAUUUCACGACUUUCAACAAAGUUAAGUUCAAGGUCCUGCAUGUGGGCCAGGGCAAUCAAUAACAGCAUUAAAGACUAGGAGAUGAGCAGCUCUGAAAAGAUAAAAUUGGGAUAUUAGCAGAUAAAAGCUUAGGUAUGAACCAGCAAUAGGCAUUUGCCAGAAAUGCCAAUUGUUUUCUGGACUUCAUCAAAAGCAGCAUGGCCAAUAAAUUGUGGGAAGUGAUUCUGCCCUUCUCCUCUGCUCUGGUGAGGGCUGACCUGGGGUACUGGAUCCAUCUCCAGUGUUCCCAACACAAAAAAGACAAGUAUCUGUCAGAGUGUACAGAGGAGGCUAUAACAUCUUUUUUAUGAAGAAAAGCUGCAACAGUGGAAGUUAAUAAUCUUGCAGAAGAGAAGGGUCUGGGAAGACUCUAUUAUGGUCUUUCAAUACUUAAAGGAGCGCAUAAGAGGAUUGGGAGAAUUGUAAUUACCCUAGAGAAGUACUGGAACUUACAAUUAGCCUGGAGAAAAGGAGGUUGAUGUGAGACCUUCUCACUCCCUGCAAUUACCUGAAAGGAAGUUGUAGGAAGAUGAGGGAUGCUGACUUCUCCCAGGCAGCAAGGAUGACAGUGAAUAGCCUCAAGUUGCUCUAGGGAACAUGUACAUUUAGAUUAAAUAAGGAAGAAAUUUAUUCAGGGAGGGUGGACAGAGACUUGCCCAGAGAAGUUUUGGAUAAUCAAUCACUGGAAGUGUUCAAGACAAGGUUGUAUGGGGAAGUGAGCAAUCUAAUCUAGUGGAACAUGUCCCUGUCCAUGGCAGAGACUUUCAAACUAGGCCCCUUUAAAGGUCUCUUCCAACCCAAACAAUCUUAUUGUUUGAAUCUUUAUUACAGAUUUUGUAUUUUUACCAUCUAGAUUGCUAUUGGACAUAUUAUCUCUAUCUGCAUACUGUGCUUUAACACCUGUAUGAACAGAACAACUUUUUGUGAAGCAACAGAAUCUGCUGAUGAUUCCACACUUGUAGUUUGAUUCCACUACUUGUAGAAAACAAGUAGUUAAGGACACCAAGAACUGCAAUGGACCCAGAAAAUUACUACAUUAAAUCUACAUUAAAUCCAAAUCUCUUGGUUAAAAUUGUUCUUGUUUUCAUAAUACAGCACUGCUAGUCGGGGAAUAUGUAUUGAUGUUGUCUCAUACACCUUCCCAUUGCCAUUCAAUGGCAAUGGCAAUUACAUAUCUUGCAAUAGGAAAGAACAAUGCAUCUUUUUUUUUUUUAACAAUUGUUUAUCAACUAUGGGGGUAUUUUGUUGGGCGUUUUUUUUUUUUUUUUUUGGUGUUUUUUCCCUUUUAAAUGUUGCUUAGAUUUACCCUUCAAAAUUGUCUUUUUCUUCUAUUAGCAUCACACUGCACCAAAGUAUUUUUAAAAGUAAACAGUUGUUACUCUGAAGCAGACUUCGAAGGAACUGUACUCAACAAGUAUUAUAAUUUUGUGUCCAUUUUUUUCAGCUAGUUCCCUAAUUACUUGUUCUAUGCUAUGAUGAAUAAGUUCUAUAAGUAAAGCAUGAGUCUUAUGUCCAGAAAACUCCAUUUGCAAAACAAUACUUUGUAAAGGAAAAAGAAGAUUAUUUUAGAAAGGUAUCUUGGAGGGUAAAUUAUUAUAAACCAGAAUGAAAAUAUUUAUGCCUAAGAAAUCGGUACUGGGUUAAAAUCCAAGUUAAAAGCUCAUGUAUUUGAUAAGGAAUACAAAAUUGGUACAUCUUUUAUCGUGGAAAAGAAAGGGUACCCUGUAAAUAGGUUUACUAAAGAAACAAUGCCAAUGCAAAAAUGUGAAAUGUGCAUGUGUGAGCAUGAAGUGUAUCUGUGUUUAAUUGCUUAUGUAAGUUUGUGUUUAAGCACUGAAGAAUUCCUUUUGCUCUGAAGUUCUGUUCUAUAGCAGACCAAAAAGGAAGACCAAAAUAUUCUAAUUUCUAAUGUCAUGUGCACUGUCUGCCAGCUGCUAUACUCAUUAUUACGUACAGGCCACAGCAUUAUAUGCUAGACUAGUUUGCUAUCUCAUUACUAAUUCCUUUAUGCAUCCUUUAGAGCAGCAAUUAAAAGGUGGGCCUUCAGCAUGGGAGAGCCAACUAUUUGAACCAUAAUCACAACAUAUUUUAUCCUCUGCACUGGAGGCUGUGCAGUGAUUUGGAAGUUAAGUCCUUGUGCAAUCUCUUAAGAUUGCCUCAGAGGCAGGGGAAACUAAUUUGCAAGUAUCUUCCUGCAAAUAUUUUUGGACAUGCGAAAAGAAAGAGUGGGGUAAUCUUCACUUUCUAAUUAAAUUGCUAAUUAUUUGUUAUAUUUGUUAUCUGGGGAAAAAAGAAAGAAAGAGAGAAAAUCAUCUGUCUUACCCUUUUUGUAAGUAAGUAAUUCUUAAUGUAGUAAAGUCUAGUAAUUGAUAUGUCUGAUUUCUUUUGUCUGGUUGUCCUUUAUUAAAUAUGAGAUUUUUGUUAUGUGCAAAGCAGUCUAUAAGGGUCUCUUGUCAAAGUUGUCAGUUUAUUCAUAGCAAACCUAUAGAAAUUUUUAAUAAGAAGCUCUUCUAAUCACUAACACCCCCUCCACCUUCCCUAUAAAGGCAUUUCAACAAAUGUUUUUGUUCUAGCUAACGAAGUGUGCAUGAGAUGAAGGAAUG